GACAGAGGGUGCAAACGUUGUUCGGAAUUACUGGGCGUAAAGCGCGUGUAGGCGGCUCUGCAAGUCGGAUGUGAAAUCUCACGGCUCAACCAUGGAAGUGCAUUCGAAACUGCAGGGCUAGAGUUCUGGAGAGGAAGGUGGAAUGCUUGGUGUAGAGGUGAAAUUCGUAGAUAUCAAGCGGAACACCGGUGGCGAAGGCGGCCUUCUGGACAGUAACUGACGCUGAGACGCGAAAGCGUGGGGAGCAAACAGG
rnacentral:rRNA from 1 species